rnacentral:lncRNA from 1 species
AUUCUCUCUCUCUCAGCUGGGGCCUAAAGUGCACCGUUAUAGCAGCUUUGUCCAUAAAUAUUAAUGAAAGAUAUAUGUCACACUAGUUAUGGUAUUCUCACUUAUUAGUGUUCAUGGUAUUCUCAGACACUUUUCACUUUAUAGCUUACAAAUUUGGCAUACUCUACCAACAAAAUAAUUCAACUAGGAUAUAACCACCGUGAUGCAUAUAGUCCCAUUU